GAAUAAAACAACCUCCGAGUGAUUUAAAUCUAGACUAACCAGUUCGAAAAUAUUACAUCACUUUAUUGAUCCAAAAACUUGAUCAACGGAACAAG
rnacentral:rRNA from 1 species